AAUAUAUAUAUAUAUCAUAUAUCUCCAAAGCCUGUUUCUCUAUCCUCAAUCAAUCAUAUAUCUCCAAAGCCCGUUUCUCUCUACCCUCUUUCUCUCCAAGACUAACUCCUUUUCUCUCCAAGCCUAACCCUCUUUCUACCGAAACCACUGAUUUUCGAAAUCUCCACUAUUAAGGAGCAACGGAGGGUUGAAUCGACGGGCAGCGCAGUGUUGGAGAGAAAAUAGCGGCACAGCUGAUUGAAAAGUUCCCUGAGUUUUAGGGUGUGCAGUGCCCCUGUAAGGUCUAUCACAAAUAGGCGUCGAGAUUGAACAAGGAUUCACCCCUUUUUCUCUGAUUUGAAGCAAUCUUUUUGUAACAUAUCAAAAUAAUUUAUCCAAGCCCUAACCCUUCAUCUCUCAUUCGAAGGCCUAACCCCCUUCCUCCCAUUCGAAGAAAACUUUGGCGUCAAACCGAAGCCCUAAUUUAUCAUGUAUGCAUUGAUAAAUUUCAAGGGAAUGAAGCAUACUAAAUGGUUUGUGCGCUUCAGAUUCGUCAUAUGGUGUGCCUAUCUUCUCAUUAUCAUUAAGGAAGCCCCUUUCCCUAAAAGAGAAUACCAACUUGUGUGGGUAGUUACUUCUCAAGCGUGAAGCCAAACUACUAACAGAGACAGUUAGGAAUUCGUGGUUAAUUUGCUGUCCCGUAUCUGAAAAACCCAAGCUUGGAUCCGCAGUUUAGUGUAUACUUUUCACAAAAGAUGUUUGUGUUAGUUGAGGUUUGCCUUUUUAAUGUCAUGUGCUUAUCAAAAGGGUUCAUGGCUACUCAUUCAUUAUUGGUAUCUGUCACAGGGGUAUUUAAGUCAUUACACUUUGUGUUAAUGGAGUACUUUUCCUAAAGGUUCUGUUAUACAAUGUAAUGGUCAUUUUCUGGUUUAUAUUCACACACACAAGGGGUAGCAAAUAUAACCCUGAAGUGAGGGCAUUUCUGGUGUUACAUUGAUAAUUCUAGUGCAAUGAAGGACUCACAGUAUUGUGCCACGUGCACAGUGGUCCUAGAG